rfam:Mesocricetus auratus contig131064, whole genome shotgun sequence.
GCUGGGCGUUGGUGGCGCACGCCUUUAGUCCCAGCACUCGGGAGGCAGAGGCAGGCGGAUCUCUGUGAGUUCGAGGCCAGCCUGGUGUACAGAGCGAGUUCCAGGGCAGCCUCCAAAAACACAGAGAAACCCUGUCUCGAAAAACCAAAAACAAAAAAAGAAAGCCUUGGCUUGUCUCUCUGACUCAGUUUUUGGUUUUUCGAGACAAGGUUUCUCUGUAUUGUUUUGGAGGCUGCCCUGGAACUCGCUCUGUAGACCAGACUGGCCUCAAACUCACAGAGAUCCGCCUGCCUCUG